rnacentral:rRNA from 1 species
GAACUUUCCAGAGAUGGACUGGUGCCUUCGGGAACUGUGAGACAGGUGCUGCAUGGCUGUCGUCAGCUCGUGUUGUGAAAUGUUGGGUUAAGUCCCGCAACGAGCGCAACCCUUAUCCUUUGUUGCCAGCGGUCCGGCCGGGAACUCAAAGGAGACUGCCAGUGAUAAACUGGAGGAAGGUGGGGAUGACGUCAAGUCAUCAUGGCCCUUACGACCAGGGCUACACACGUGCUACAAUGGCGCAUACAAAGAGAAGCGACCUCGCGAGAGCAAGCGGACCUCAUAAAGUGCGUCGUAGUCCGGAUUGGAGUCUGCAACUCGACUCCAUGAAGUCGGAAUCGCUAGUAAUCGUGGAUCAGAAUGCCACGGUGAAUACGUUCCCGGGCCUUGUACACACCGCCCGUCACACCAUGGGAGUGGGUUGCAAAAGAAGUAGGUAGCUUAACCUUCGGGAGGGCGCUUACCACUUUGUGAUUCAUGACUGGGGUGAAGUCGUAACAAGGUAACCGUAGGGGAACCUGCGGUUGGAUCACCUCCUUACCUGAAAGAA